rnacentral:tRNA from 1 species
ACUCUUUUAGUUUAUAUUUAAAAUAUGGCUCUGAAGAAGCCAAGAAUUUUAGGAGUG